GGCAUGGAGGCAACUCUGACCCAGCCAUGCCGCGUGCAGGAAGACGGCCCUCUGAGUUGUAAACUGCUUUUGUUUGGGAAUAAACCCUUCUACGUGUAGGAGGCUGAAGGUACCCUUCGAAUAAGGAUCGGCUAACUCCGUGCCAGCAGCCGCGGUAAUACGGAGGAUCCAAGCGUUAUCCGGAUUUAUUGGGUUUAAAGGGUCCGUAGGCGGGUCUUUAAGUCAGUGGUGAAAGCCCACAGCUCAACUGUGGAACUGUCAUUGAUACUGGAGAUCUUGAGUGUAGUAGAAGUAGGCGGAAUAGGGCAUGUAGCGGUGAAAUGCAUAGAUAUGCCCUAGAACACCGAUUGCGAAGGCAGCUUACUAUGUUACAACUGACGCUGAGGGACGAAAGCGUGGGGAGCAAACAGGAUUAGAUACCCUGGUAGUCCACGCUGUAAACGAUGAUUACUCGCUGUUGGCGACAUACAGUCAGCGGCCAAGCGAAAGCAUUAAGUGAACCACCUGGGGAGUACGAUCGCAAGGUUGAAACUCAAAGGAAUUGACGGGGGCCCGCACAAGCGGUGGAGCAUGUGGAUUAAUUCGAUGAUACGCGAGGAACCUUACC
rnacentral:rRNA from 1 species